UUGGAUGUGGRGGUUUUGCUGGCCUCUUUGAAAAAAGGGCUCAGCUCUCCUGAAAUGCAUUAGCAGAACAAACCUGUKCAUUGGUGUGAUAACUAUCUGCGCCAUUGAAUGUGAGGGGCAGUUCAGCUUUCUAACAGUCCUUCGUUGGACAAUUCAUCAUUAAUGUGACCUCSAAUCAGGUAGGACUACCCGCUGAACUUAAGCAUAUCAAUAAGCGGAGGAAAAGAAACUAACAAGGAUUCCCCUAGCUAACUGCGCAGUGAAGCGGGAAAAGCUCAAAUUUAAAAUCUGGCGGUCUUUUGGCUGUCCGAGUUGUAAUCUAGAGAAGUGUUAUCCGCGCUGGACCGUGUACAAGUCUCCUGGAAUGGAGCAUCAUAGAGGGUGAGAAUCCCGUCUUUGACAUGGACUGCCAGGGCUUUGUGAUGCGCUCUCAAAGAGUCGAGUUGUUUGGGAAUGCAGCUCAAAAUGGGUGGUAAAUUCCAUCUAAAGCUYAAUAUUGGCGAGAGACCGAUAGCGAACAAGUAACCGUGAGGGGAAAGAUG
rnacentral:rRNA from 1 species